rnacentral:rRNA from 1 species
AGGGCGCACGGUGGAUGCCUUGGCACUAGAAGCCGACGAAGGACGUUACUAACGACGAUAUGCUUUGGGUAGCUGUAAGUAAGCGUUGAUCCAGAGAUUUCCGAAUGGGGGAACCCAGCACGAGUUAUGUCGUGUUAUCGACAAGUGAAUUCAUAGCUUGUCAGAAGGCAGACCCGGAGAACUGAAACAUCUUAGUACCCGGAGGAAGAGAAAGAAAAAUCGAUUCCCUGAGUAGCGGCGAGCGAAACGGGAAGAGCCCAAACCAAUAAGCUUGCUUAUUGGGGUUGUAGGACACUCUAUACGGAGUUACAAAGGAAUAUAUUAGACGAAUCAUCUGGAAAGUUGAAUCAAAGAAGGUAAUAAUCCUGUAGUUGAAAAUAUAUUCUCUCUUGAGUGGAUCCUGAGUACGACGGAGCACGUGAAAUUCCGUCGGAAUCUGGGAGGACCAUCUCCUAAGGCUAAAUACUCUCUAGUGACCGAUAGUGAACCAGUACCGUGAGGGAAAGGUGAAAAGUACCCCGGAAGGGGAGUGAAAGAGAACUUGAAACCGUGUGCUUACAAGUAGUCAGAGCCCGUUAAUGGGUGAUGGCGUGCCUUUUGUAGAAUGAACCGGCGAGUUACGAUCUGAUGCAAGGUUAAGCAGGAGAUGUGGAGCCGUAGCGAAAGCGAGUCUGAAUAGGGCGUUGAGUAUUUGGUCGUAGACCCGAAACCAGGUGAUCUACCCAUGGUCAGGUUGAAGUUCAGGUAACACUGAAUGGAGGACCGAACCGACUUACGUUGAAAAGUGAGCGGAUGAACUGUGGGUAGCGGAGAAAUUCCAAUCGAACUUGGAGAUAGCUGGUUCUCUCCGAAAUAGCUUUAGGGCUAGCCUCAAGUGAUGAUUAUUGGAGGUAGAGCACUGUUUGGACGAGGGGCCCCUCUCGGGUUACCGAAUUCAGACAAACUCCGAAUGCCAAUUAAUUUAACUUGGGAGUCAGAACAUGGGUGAUAAGGUCCGUGUUCGAAAGGGAAACAGCCCAGACCACCAGCUAAGGUCCCAAAAUAUAUGUUAAGUGGAAAAGGAUGUGGCGUUGCCCAGACAACUAGGAUGUUGGCUUAGAAGCAGCCAUCAUUUAAAGAGUGCGUAAUAGCUCACUAGUCGAGUGACACUGCGCCGAAAAUGUACCGGGGCUAAACAUAUUACCGAAGCUGUGGAUUGUCCGUAGGACAAUGGUAGGAGAGCGUUCUAAGGGCGUUGAAGCAUGAUCGCAAGGACAUGUGGAGCGCUUAGAAGUGAGAAUGCCGGUGUGAGUAGCGAAAGACGGGUGAGAAUCCCGUCCACCGAUUGACUAAGGUUUCCAGAGGAAGGCUCGUCCGCUCUGGGUUAGUCGGGUCCUAAGCUGAGGCCGACAGGCGUAGGCGAUGGAUAACAGGUUGAUAUUCCUGUACCACCUAGCAUCGUUUUAAUCGAUGGGGGGACGCAGUAGGAUAGGCGAAGCGUACGAUUGGAUUGUACGUCNAAGCAGUGAGAUUGAGUGUUAGGCAAAUCCGGCACUCUUAAGAUUGAGCUGUGAUGGGGAGAGGAAAUUGUUUCCUCGAGUCGUUGAUUUCACACUGCCGAGAAAAGCCUCUAGAUAGAUAAUAGGUGCCCGUACCGCAAACCGACACAGGUAGUCAAGAUGAGAAUUCUAAGGUGAGCGAGCGAACUCUCGUUAAGGAACUCGGCAAAAUGACCCCGUAACUUCGGGAGAAGGGGUGCUCUUUAGGGUGCAAGCCCAGAAGAGCCGCAGUGAAUAGGCCCAAGCGACUGUUUAUCAAAAACACAGGUCUCUGCUAAACCGUAAGGUGAUGUAUAGGGGCUGACGCCUGCCCGGUGCUGGAAGGUUAAGAGGAGUGGUUAGCUUCUGCGAAGCUACGAAUCGAAGCCCCAGUAAACGGCGGCCGUAACUAUAACGGUCCUAAGGUAGCGAAAUUCCUUGUCGGGUAAGUUCCGACCCGCACGAAAGGCGUAACGAUUUGGGCACUGUCUCAACGAGAGACUCGGUGAAAUCAUAGUACCUGUGAAGAUGCAGGUUACCCGCGACAGGACGGAAAGACCCCGUGGAGCUUUACUGUAGCCUGAUAUUGAAAUUCGGCACAGCUUGUACAGGAUAGGUAGGAGCCUUUGAAACGUGAGCGCUAGCUUACGUGGAGGCGCUGGUGGGAUACUACCCUAGCUGUGUUGGCUUUCUAACCCGCACCACUUAUCGUGGUGGGAGACAGUGUCAGGCGGGCAGUUUGACUGGGGCGGUCGCCUCCUAAAAGGUAACGGAGGCGCUCAAAGGUUCCCUCAGAAUGGUUGGAAAUCAUUCAUAGAGUGUAAAGGCAUAAGGGAGCUUGACUGCGAGACCUACAAGUCGAGCAGGGUCGAAAGACGGACUUAGUGAUCCGGUGGUUCCGCAUGGAAGGGCCAUCGCUCAACGGAUAAAAGCUACCCCGGGGAUAACAGGCUUAUCUCCCCCAAGAGUUCACAUCGACGGGGAGGUUUGGCACCUCGAUGUCGGCUCAUCGCAUCCUGGGGCUGUAGUCGGUCCCAAGGGUUGGGCUGUUCGCCCAUUAAAGCGGUACGCGAGCUGGGUUCAGAACGUCGUGAGACAGUUCGGUCCCUAUCCGUCGUGGGCGUAGGAAAUUUGAGAGGAGCUGUCCUUAGUACGAGAGGACCGGGAUGGACAUACCUCUGGUGUACCAGUUGUCGUGCCAACGGCAUAGCUGGGUAGCUAUGUAUGGACGGGAUAAGUGCUGAAAGCAUCUAAGCAUGAAGCCCCCCUCAAGAUGAGAUUUCCCAACUUCGGUUAUAAGAUCCCUCAAAGAUGAUGAGGUUAAUAGGUUCGAGGUGGAAGCGUGGUGACACGUGGAGCUGACGAAUACUAAUCGAUCGAAGACUUAAUC